rnacentral:lncRNA from 1 species
CCUAUUCUUACCAGCCUGCUGUCUGCACUUCAUUUUCAUAACAGCUCAGUGGAAUGUGCUCAUGCCUUUGUUUGUCCCUCUUCAGAGAAAGGGAAAUUGCUACACAAAGAUUGACAAGAGAGGGUCCAGCCCAUUGUGGGUGGGGCCAUCCCUAGUCCGGUGGUCCUGGAUUCCAUAAGAAAGCAGACAGAACCAGCCAUGACGAGCAAGCCAGUAAGCAGCACCCUUCCAUGGCCUCUCUAUCAGAUCCUGCCUCUGGGUUCCUGCCCUGUCUGAGCACCUAUCCUGACUUCCUUCAAGGCUGAACAGUGAUGUGGACUUACAAAAAUCCCCAGGAAGAAAUAAGCAGCAUCCCUCUCGAUGACCCCUGUGCCUAGAAUAUAGCAGACUCGUAAACACUUAUGAAAGGAAACUCAGUGUGACUUUUAGAUUGAAUUCUAAUUUCAAGACAACUCCUCAAACAAUUCGCCACAGAACAGACCAUUAGAGUUAUGUGAUAAGAUACCAUGAUCAGAAACAAUUUACAGAAAGAAGAGUCUUGGGUUCCAGAGAGAGUCCAUGAUGUCUGAGAGAGGCUUGGCAACAUGGGCCCAGAAAAGGAAGCUGAGAGAUUACAUCUUCAACUGCAAGCAUGGUACAGAGAGCAAACUGGAAGUGCAUUGAGGCUGUGAACUCUCGGAGACCUCCUAAAACGAUUUCCAUCCUCCAGCAAGGCCAUAAAUACCACAUCCCUCAUCAUGUCGUCAAAUGGGAAUCAAGUGCUUCAAUACAAAAGCCUAUGGAGGACAUUCAUAUUUAAACCACUGUAUUCAACAUGCCCAGAGCCUUCUUUAUUAGCUGCUUUCUAGAACUGCCACACUAUUGUUCACACACACACACACACACACACACACACACACACACACACACACCACAAUGUGUCUAUAUAUAUACAUGAAAGAGAAAACACUGUAAGACGGUUCUGGGGAUGGUGACACCUUCCUUUAAUUCCAGCACUUGGGAGGUAGAGGCAGGCAGCUCUCUGAGUUCAAGACUAUCCUGGUCUAUAUCCAGGACACCCAGGACUAUACAAAAAAAAAAAAAAAAAGAGGGAGUAGGGAGAGGUGAGGAGAGAACACAUUUAAAAGCCUUGAUUAAACAAUUUAGUUUCCUAAGUACAGUUUUCUAGUUUUAAUUAAUAUACAAAAAACAGACUAUCAAAAGUGGGUACAUUUAUAUCUGAUUUUCCAUCAGCACCAUAUAAAUGUUUUCAUCAUGUAUAGCAGGACUGCUUAUUUGAUACCCAAGUAGACACAGCUAAUGAGUGUAGAUAGAUAGAUAGAUAGAUAGAUAGAUAGAUAGAUAGGCAGAUAGAUAGAUAGAUAGAUAGAUAGAUAGAUAGAUAGAUAGAUAGAUAGAUAGAUAGGCAGGCAGGCAGGCAGGCAGGCAGGCAGGCAGGCAGGCAGGCAGGCAGAUAGAUAGAUAGAGAUAGGCAGAUAGAUAGGCAGAUAGAUAGAUAGAUAGAUAGAUAGAUAGAUAGAUAGAUAGAUAGAUAGGCAGAUAGAUAGAUAGAUAGAUAGAUAGAUAGAUAGAUAGAUAGAUAGAUAGAUAGAUAGGCAGGCAGGCAGGCAGGCAGGCAGGCAGGCAGGCAGAUAGAUAGAUAGAGAUAGGCAGAUAGAUAGGCAGAUAGAUAGAUAGAUAGAUAGAUAGAUAGAUAGAUAGAUAGAUAGAUAGAAAGAUAAUAGAUAGAUAGAUAGAUAGAUAGAUAGAUAGAUAGAUAGAUAGAUAGAUAGAUGUUUUUAGGACAUGCUGGUUUCUCUGAUGUAAGCUGUUUAUGAA